GCCGGGCGCGGUGGCUCACGCCUGUAAUCCCAGCACUUUGGGAGGCUGAGGCAGGUGGAUCAUUUGAGGUCAGGAGUUUGAGACCAGCCUGACCAACAUGGUGAAACCCUGUCUCUA
rnacentral:SRP_RNA from 1 species